rnacentral:rRNA from 1 species
UGAAAAAGAACCUGAAACCGUGUACGUACAAGCAGUGGGAGCACCCUUUGGGUGUGACUGCGUACCUUUUGUAUAAUGGGUCAGCGACUUAUAUUCUGUAGCAAGGUUAACCGAAUAGGGGAGCCGGAGGGAAACCGAGUCUUAAUUGGGCGUUAAGUUGCAGGGUAUAGACCCGAAACCCGGUGAUCUAGCCAUGGGCAGGUUGAAGGUUGGGUAACACUAACUGGAGGACCGAACCGACUAAUGUUGAAAAA